rnacentral:lncRNA from 1 species
UCAUUUACAGAUGAAGCAUUUGUGUUUAGUGAGUCCUCCAGAUCAGAGGCAGUAGGGAUGAACAGAGAUGUUCUCUGUUUAGUGAGUCCUCCAGAUCAAAGGCAGUAGGGAUGAUGUCGUGGAAAAUUGUCUUAAGAAUAUAAUACUCUUGCAAGAACUUUGUGAUUUCAAUAUAGACUUUAAUACAGAGUAGCAAAGCCGAGCCAGUCCGCGGAUCAACUGCCCUUCCUGAGCAUAGGCUCUGCUUUUAUAUACAUACAGUAUGGGAGUACAUUCCAUAUGUAAAAGUUACUUCCCUCAGUCCUUCUGUCACCAUUAUCUUUCAUCCCUAGUUCUUUGCUUGUUCACGCCCAAUAACGCCCAUCUCUGAUUCCUUUCAGGCCAACCUCACAUUCAAUUCGCGCAUAUAUGUACAAAAUGUAUUUCAGCAGAUUUCGUGCGUUUUUGUGCAUUUUUGUGUGGUUCAAAUCGUGCGAAAAGACACGAAUUUAACCAGUAGGCGACACACAAGCAUUUGCAACAACCAUAGACGCGAUAGCCUGUAUUUCACUAUUUCUUUAUUUUACGUUAUGAAUAUAUAGAUAUUUUGUAUUUUUUUUUUAUCCUGUCAGGUCGCGUCAAUUCGAAUCUGGUAUCAGAACAAAAUAGUCAGCACAUAGUAACUUCUGAUUUCUUUGUACUUUAAUUAAUGCAAACACUUGAAUGGUAAAUAUGUGGUUCGUAUAUACGGGCUCACUGUAACACCACGCAGGGCAGACAGAGAUCUGGUAUGACAUUACAAGUUCUUCCUUAAAUACUGGACAGACUUAGUUCCCUCUCCCUGAGGGCCUGUCAUAGUAGAGGCUAGAAUAUGGUUUAGACUUAUUCCAGCCUAUCGUUGGCGUGCAGGUUGGUCCCAACCUCUAGACGCACUCCAGCUUCCUGGCGGAUGUCUCAUCUUGUGACUGCACAAUGCACAGUUCUCUAAAACCCUUACACCCCCAUGCACAUACAUUUCACCCAUAUCCUGUUAUUGCUGUUGUUCAGCAAAAAGCUCUUGCAAAACCCUGUUUUAAAGCAUCAGUAUUCUUUCCACAUGACCCACCAUCACAUGAGCCACUUCCUCUUAACAUAUAGCAGUACUCAAUUAUCUAUAGUUUAUAUACUUCAUAUUAUAGCAUAGCUGCUCUGUUAUUUUAUAUAGGUUAUGCUAACAAAUAGUUGGUCAAACCCUAACAAUCCCCCUUUUCACACCUGAUAGGUGUGAAUACAUAAGUUCUUAAAAUUUCAGGGAAAUUUUGAGAUUCCCCCUUUUGACACCCCCUAGGGUGUCACUCAACACAAUUGUAAAUUUUCGAUUUAAUGAUUAAAUGAUUAGUUUAAAAAACCCUCAAGUCCUUCCGGCUACACCUCACUUGUACUAGGUUCACUACCAGUCACCCAGGAACUUCAAACCCUCACAUCAGGAAAGACAAAUAGUACACAGGAUAAAUUCAGAACAUAUUAUUUAAAAAACGUAUAAAAAGAGGACCUUCUUAUGGCAGGGGCUACACCUAACAUGUGUGGGACAGACUCUUUGUCCCAGAACUUAAAACCCUUCACAUCCACCUGCCACUACAUUCAACACAUAUAAGAACAUUUUGGAUAAGCUUUAUUCAAUCACUUCCUCAACAGCAAACCAAGGACCAUUGCCCAGAGCUGGAUUCAGUGUCCUCUGGGGUCACUUCCAUCAAAGGCAUCAUUCCGGUUGCCCAUCUGCUCCGUUAUCAAUCUCUCCAGAACCCUGGAAAUGAGACCUCUCGCACACGGGACCAAACAACAACCACACAACACAAACACAAUCAUACAGGUGAAAGCAGCCCAUAACAACACUUUUCCAUUUCCCAAACAUGAGCUGUGUUAUCAGGAAUGUACGUGCAGCAAUGAACCUAAUCAAUCUACCUACACCAUCCUCUUUUGCCAGUAACAUAUCGAGAGUCAGUCUAUUUUACCAGGUCAUGAGGGAGGUGGUGGAUAAUUGGUCAGAGAACCUCUUUACUGCAUCCCCGGUUUCAUUCAUGAAUCUCUGUUGAUUAUAAAAGAUGUCAUUAAUCCCAUCCACAUUUUUAUUUAUUGUCAACUACCAUAAUAAUGUAGUGUUAAAGCCUUCACAUAUUUGAUUCAUAGCUUUGUAUUCAUCUGGAACUUCCCUGUGGAUGCCAAUAGCAUCCAUCUAGACAAAGCUACUCCCAUCCUGGUCAAAACUCCUCCUGUGUCUACUUUAGCCUCCUAUAACUGGCCUCUGAUGACUAACUUGAACUGGUUGGACCAAUAAACCCGGGCGCAAGCUCCUAACCACCCUUUGUGGUAAUUUCUGUCGUAUGCGUCCUUUGCUGGUACUAGCCCACCCAACAUCAGUUAUAGGUGCUGUGAGGUUAAGCAUUUUCUAUUCAUCUUUCAAACCUAAGUCAGUCACAUUAACAAUUACUUUCCAGCUAUUAAAAUCAUCCAAGUUCUCGGUGCCAUUCUUGUAUCUAUAACACUGUCACUCAUCAGUGUAUUAUAUAGUUUAUCUUUUACUUCUUCUCGAUGACAACGGUAUCGUUUGAUUAGUACCGGAAUCUGGUGGAUCUGAAUGUAUCAGAAAGAUUAGACUAUGAUGCAGCUCAGAGUCUCUACUCUUCCCAAAAACCGCCAACCCUCUCCUGCCCUUAGUCUCUCUGCUUGGUACCACCCCAUACUCACACCUCUAGGAGCACACACAGUGAUGAACGGUCGGGAUAGGGAAUCUUCGUUAAGGAGGUGACCCCCGGACCCUGUUGGUACUCGGUUCUUCUCCUAACUCUGUGUGUG